GCAGCGUUUCUGAGAAGGACUUCACAGCCUGGCUGCAUCAGGGAUUUCCGGCAGGAUGGAACGUUCAUGCAUUUAAUGACUGAGCCAUAAAACAACCGUGAGGCCCUCCAUUUCUUGGAAUGUCAGUACUACUCUCUCAGGCGGCUCACUCUUUCUUCUGGCUUUAUUUACAUAUUCUGUGGAUCUGUGACUGCACCACUGCUCCUGGACUCCUGCCUCCCAUGUGACUGUGCCAUUUUGCAAACACUCAGAAGGAUGAAGCCUCAGAACAGCUAAGGUUUCAAAAUUAUCUGUUGGUGCCCUAAUACCCUCCAUAGAUAACCAAAUUGACAAUAGACCAAUAGGAUGAUUACAGAGUCCCCAAACAGAUGGGACUGUAAACUGUUGCAACUGUAUUGUGACUAACAGAUUUGUGUAAGAGGCUUGGGGAGGCUCCUCCUUGGAAUCACAUGACAUGAGUGAGGAGAGUAAGUCAACUGGGUAAACAAAACACCUUUGUCUGUGGACAGCAAAUCUGUGACCAGCCUUAAACCGUAGAAGCUACUUGGAAAUGUGGACACAGCUCUCCUUGUGUGCAUGCAUGUCGACCAUAUGUGGACAAGUGCUCUAUGAAGAAUUUGCUGUUAUUCCUCUCUUGGGAUGUGUUUCUGGCUAAAAGUUUCUCAAGUCUUUCUGAUGAUGCUGUGAGCUAGCUAAAAUCCUUUAAUAAAAAUUUCUGCUUAUAC